rnacentral:rRNA from 1 species
GUCGAGCGAACAGACGAGGAGCUUGCUCCUUUGANGUUAGCGGCGGACGGGUGAGUAACACGURGGUAACCUACCUAUAAGACUGGGAUAACUUCGGGAAACCGGAGCUAAUACCGGAUAAUAUUUCGAACCGCAUGGUUCGAUAGUGAAAGAUGGCUUUGCUAUCACUUAUAGAUGGACCUGCGCCGUAUUAGCUAGUUGGUAAGGUAACGGCUUACCAAGGCAACGAUACGUAGCCGACCUGAGAGGGUGAUCGGCCACACUGGAACUGAGACACGGUCCAGACUCCUACGGGAGGCAGCAGUAGGGAAUCUUCCGCAANGGGCGAAAGCCUGACGGAGCAACGCCGCGUGAGUGAUGAAGGUCUUCGGAUCGUAAAACUCUGUUAUUAGGGAANAACAAACGUGUAAGUAACUGUGCACGUCUUGACGGUACCUAAUCANAAAGCCACGGCUAACUACGUGCCAGCAGCCGCGGUAAUACGUAGGUGGCAAGCGUUAUCCGGAAUUAUUGGGCGUAAAGCGCGCGUAGGCGGUUUUUUAAGUCUGAUGUGAAAGCCCACGGCUCAACCGUGGAGGGUCAUUGGAAACUGGAAAACUUGAGUGCAGAAGAGGAAAGUGGAAUUCCAUGUGUAGCGGUGAAAUGCGCANAGAUAUGGAGGAACACCAGUGGCGAAGGCGACUUUCUGGUCUGUAACUGACGCUGAUGUGCGAAAGCGUGGGGGAUCAAACAGGAUUAGAUACCCUGGUAGUCCACGCCGUAANCGAUGANUGCUAAGUGUUAGGGGGUUUCCGCCCCCUUAGUGCUGCAGCUAACGCAUUAAGCACUC